rnacentral:rRNA from 1 species
AUUGAACGCUGGCGGCAGGCCUAACACAUGCAAGUCGAGCGAGCGGCGGACGGGUGAGUAAUAUCUGGGAAACUGUUUGAUGUUGGGGGAUAACCUCCGGAAACGGUAGCUAAUACCGCAUACCCUCAGAUGUGCCCAGAUGGGAUUAGCUUGUAGGUGUGGUAACGGCUCACCUAGGCGACGAUCCCUAGCUGGUCUGGGAGGAUGACCAGCCACACUGGAACUGAGACACGGUCCAGACUCCUACGGGAGGCAGCAGUGGGGAAUAUUGCACAAUGGGCGCAAGCCUGAUGCAGCCAUGCCGCGUGUGUGAAGAAGGCCUUCGGGUUGUAAAGCACUUUCAGCGGGGAGGCGUUACCCGCAGAAGAAGCACCGGCUAACUCCGUGCCAGCAGCCGCGGUAAUAC